rnacentral:tRNA from 1 species
GGGGAUAUAGUUUAAUUGGUAAAACAUCGAUUUUGCAUAUCGGUAUUUUAGGAUCGA